rnacentral:SRP_RNA from 1 species
UUCGGUUCCCCGUGCGGCAACAUCAUUUGAACCUCCCCAGGGCCGGAAGGCAGCAAGGAUAAGGAUGCUCUGUUGGGUGUGCGGGGAAUCUUUUUG